rnacentral:misc_RNA from 1 species
CCGAGUUUUCUACAACUCCCAACCCUUGCGAACCGUACCCCAGUCUGUUCUCGUUGCUUCCGGCGGCGGGGCGGGGGAGGCCCUGAAAACGCCUCCCUCUGCCCCCCGCCGGGGGCGGCGGGCCCUCUGAACCUUUUUUUAAAACACAACUAGACCUUCUGAGCAAAAAAACAAAAAAUACAUUA